rnacentral:rRNA from 1 species
GACGUAGGGCGCGAGCGUUGUCCGGAUUUAUUGGGCGUAAAGAGCUCGUAGGCGGCUUGUCGCGUCGAAUGUGAAAACUCGGGGCUCAACUCCGAGCUUGCAUUCGAUACGGGCAGGCUAGAGUUCGGUAGGGGAGACUGGAAUUCCUGGUGUAGCGGUGAAAUGCGCAGAUAUCAGGAGGAACACCGGUGGCGAAGGCGGGUCUCUGGGCCGAUACUGACGCUGAGGAGCGAAAGCUAGGGGUAGCAAAACGGG